rnacentral:lncRNA from 1 species
UCCACCACCAAAAAGACCUGCAGGUAGGCCAAGAUUUGAUGAGGUUAUGCAACAACUAUGCUAAAUAUAUUUUAUACCCUUUUAAGCUUUUAUAUGUUUGAUACUAUUUAACUUUAUUAUGGUAGGGAGGAGCUAUUGCAAAAAGAUGAAGACUACCCAUAAAGAGAAGAAUAGAGUAACUGCUAGCUACUGGACCUAUUGAGCAACAAUAUGAUAAAAGAACCAUUGAA